rnacentral:rRNA from 1 species
GACGAACGCUGGCGGCAUGCCUAAUACAUGCAAGUCGAGCGAACAGAUGAAGUGCUUGCACUUCUGACGUUAGCGGCGAACGGGUGAGUAACACGUAAGGAAUCUACCUAUAAGCGGGGGAUAACAUUCGGAAACGGGUGCUAAUACCGCAUAAUAUCUUCUUCCGCAUGGAAGAAGAUUGAAAGACGGCUCUGCUGUCACUUAUAGAUGACCUUGCGGUGCAUUAGUUAGUUGGUGGGGUAACGGCCUACCAAGACGAUGAUGCAUAGCCGACCUGAGAGGGUGAUCGGCCACAUUGGGACUGAGACACGGCCCAAACUCCUACGGGAGGCAGCAGUAGGGAAUCAUCCGCAAUGGGCGAAAGCCAGACGGAGCAAUGCCGCGUGAGUGAAGAAGGCCUUCGGGUCGUAAAACUCUGUUAUAAGAGAAGAACAAAUUGUAGAGUAACUGCUACAGUCUUGACGGUAUCUUAUCAGAAAGCCACGGCUAACUACGUGCCAGCCGCCGCCGUAA